rfam:Prunus persica cultivar Lovell chromosome G8, whole genome shotgun sequence.
GAAUACCAUUAUUUUGCUAUUCACGGUCAAUAACACAAUGACACGUAAAAAAAUUAUCUUAAGUGUUAUUGUGUUAUUAAUCGAGAAUACCAAAAAGUAAUAUCUCC